rnacentral:rRNA from 1 species
UAGGGAAUCUUCGGCAAUGGACGAAAGUCUGACCGAGCAACGCCGCGUGAGUGAAGAAGGUUUUCGGAUCGUAAAACUCUGUUGUUAGAGAAGAACAAGGACGUUAGUAACUGAACGUCCCCUGACGGUAUCUAACCAGCAAGCCACGGCUAACUACGUGCCAGCAGCCGCGGUAAUACGUAGGUGGCAAGCGUUGUCCGGAUUUAUUGGGCGUAAAGCGAGCGCAGGCGGUUUCUUAAGUGUGAUGUGAAAGCCCCCGGCUCAACCGGGGAGGGUCAUUGGAAAAGGGGAGACUUGAGUGCAGAAGAGGAGAGUGGAAUUCCAUGUGUAGCGGUGAAAGGCGUAGAUAUAUGGGGGAACACCAGUGGCGAAGGCGGCUCUCUGGUCUGUACCGGACGCUGAGGCUCGAAGGCGUGGGGGGCAAACAGG